rnacentral:rRNA from 1 species
CCUACGGGCGGCUGCAGUGGGGAAUAUUGGACAAUGGGGGGAACCCUGAUCCAGCGACGCCGCGUGAGUGAAGAAGUAUUUCGGUAUGUAAAGCUCUAUCAGCAGGGAAGAAAGAAAUGACGGUACCUGACUAAGAAGCCCCGGCUAACUACGUGCCAGCAGCCGCGGUAAUACGUAGGGGGCAAGCGUUAUCCGGAUUUACAGGGUGUAAAGGGAGCGUAGACGGCGAUGCAAGUCUGAAGUGAAAGGCGGGGGCGCAACCCCCGGACUGCGUUGGAAACUGUAUGGCUGGAGUGCAGGAGAGGUAAGUGGAAUUCCUAGUGUAGCGGUGAAAUGCGUAGAUAUUAGGAGGAACACCAGUGGCGAAGGCGGCUUACUGGACUGUAACUGACGUUGAGGCUCGAAAGCGUGGGGAGCAAACAGGAUUAGAUACCCGGGUAGUC